UACGGAGGGUGCAAGCAUUAAUCGGAUUUAUUGGGCGUAAAGAGCUCGUAGGCGGUUUGUCGCGUCUGCUGUGAAAUCCCAGGGCUUAACCCUGGGCCUGCAGUGGGUACGGGCAAACUAGAGUGCGGUAGGGGAGAUCGGAAUUCCUGGUGUAGCGGUGAAAUGCGCAGAUAUCAGGAGGAACACCGGUGGCGAAGGCGGAUCUCUGGGCCGUAACUGACGCUGAGGAGCGAAAGCAUGGGUAGCGAACAGG
rnacentral:rRNA from 1 species